rnacentral:rRNA from 1 species
UACGUAUGGUGCAAGCGUUAUCCGGAUUUACUGGGUGUAAAGGGAGCGUAGGCGGCGCGUUAAGUCUGAUGUGAAAACCCGAGGCUCAACCACGGGAGUGCAUUGGAAACUGGCGAGCUGGAGUGCCGGAGAGGUAAGCGGAAUUCCUAGUGUAGCGGUGAAAUGCGUAGAUAUUAGGAGGAACACCAGUGGCGAAGGCGGCUUACUGGACGGCAACUGACGCUGAGGCUCGAAGGCGUGGGGAGCAAACAGG